AUCCGAAUGGUGAAAUUGGUAUACACAACAAGUUUAAGCUUUGUCGGUUAGCAGCCGUGAAGGUUCGAGUCCUUUUUCGGAUA
rnacentral:tRNA from 1 species